rnacentral:rRNA from 1 species
UGAGGAAUAUUGGUCAAUGGGCGAGAGCCUGAACCAGCCAAGUCGCGUGAAGGAAGACAGUCCUAAGGAUUGUAAACUUCUUUUAUACGGGAAUAACGGGCGAUACGAGUAUUGCAUUGAAUGUACCGUAAGAAUAAGCAUCGGCUAACCCCGUGCCAGCAGCCGCGGUAAUACGGAGGAUGCGAGCGUUAUCCGGAUUUAUUGGGUUUAAAGGGUGCGUAGGUUGUUCGGUAAGUCAGCGGUGAAACCUGAGCGCUCAACGUUCAGCCUGCCGUUGAAACUGCCGGGCUUGAGUUCAGUGGCGGCAGGCGGAAUUCGUGGUGUAGCGGUGAAAUGCAUAGAUAUCACGAGGAACUCCGAUUGCGAAGGCAGCUUGCCAUACUGCGACUGACACUGAAGCACGAAGGCGUGGGUAUCAAACAGG